UCCGAAGGGGGCUAUCGUUGUUCGGAAUUACUGGGCGUAAAGCGCACGUAGGCGGAUUAGUAAGUCAGGGGUGAAAUCCCGGGGCUCAACCUCGGAACUGCCUUUGAUACUGCUGAUCUCGAGUCCGGAAGAGGUGAGUGGAAUUCCUAGUGUAGAGGUGAAAUUCGUAGAUAUUAGGAAGAACACCAGUGGCGAAGGCGGCUCACUGGUCCGGUACUGACGCUGAGGUGCGAAAGCGUGGGGAGAAAACAGG
rnacentral:rRNA from 1 species